GACGAACGCUGGCGGCGUGCCUAAUACAUGCAAGUCGAGCGAAGUUUUUCUGGUGCUUGCACUAGAAAAACUUAGCGGCGAACGGGUGAGUAACACGUAAAGAACCUGCCUCAUAGACUGGGACAACUAUUGGAAACGAUAGCUAAUACCGGAUAACAGUAUUUCUCGCAUGAGAGAUAUUUAAAAGUUGGUUAUGCUAACACUAUGAGAUGGCUUUGCGGUGCAUUAGCUAGUUGGUGGGGUAAAGGCCCACCAAGGCGACGAUGCAUAGCCGACCUGAGAGGGUGAUCGGCCACACUGGGACUGAGACACGGCCCAGACUCCUACGGGAGGCAGCAGUAGGGAAUCUUCCGCAAUGGGCGAAAGCCUGACGGAGCAACGCUGCGUGAGUGAAGAAGGAUUUCGGUUCGUAAAGCUCUGUUGUUAGGGAAGAAUGGAUAUGUAGUAACUAUACAUGUAAGAGACGGUACCUAACCAGAAAGCCACGGCUAACUACGUG
rnacentral:rRNA from 1 species